rnacentral:rRNA from 1 species
AUCGAACGCUGGCGGCAGGCCUAACACAUGCAAGUCGAACGAACCAUUCGGGCUUGCUCGCGGACGCGUGAGUAACCCGGGGGAACAUGCCUUUAGGUUCGGAAUAACUCAGGGAAACUUGUGCUAAUACCGAAUGUGCCCUUCCGGGGGAAGAUUAGUCGCAUUUAGAGCGUCCCGCGUCUGCUUACCUAGUUGGCUGCGUUAAUGGCUCACCAAGGCGACGAUAAGUAGCUGGUAUGAGAGGAUGAUCAGACACAUCGGGAGUGAGACACGGCGGAGAAUCUUAGGCGAGGGAGGAGUGGGGAAUCUUGCGAAAUGGGGGAAAGGAUGAAGGAGUCAUGACGCGUGAACGCUGAAGGUUGUAGGAUUGUAAAAUUCUUUAACCGGGGACGAUAAUGACGGUACCAGGAGAAGAAGCCCCGGCUAACUUCGUG